rnacentral:rRNA from 1 species
AUUGAACGCUGGCGGCAGGCCUAACACAUGCAAGUCGAACGAGUGGCGGACGGGGGAGUAAUGUCUGGGAAACUGCCUGAUGGAGGGGGAUAACUACUGGAAACGGUAGCUAAUACCGCAUACCAUCAGAUGUGCCCAGAUGGGAUUAGCUUGGGGGUGGGGUAACGGCUCACCAAGGCGACGAUCCCUAGCUGGUCUGAGAGGAUGACCAGCCACCCUGGAACUGAGCCGCGGUCCAGACUCCUACGGGAGGCGGGAGUGGGGAAUAUUGCACAAUGGGCGCAAGCCUGACGCUGCCAUGCCGCGUGUAUGAAAAAGUCCUUGGGGUUUGAAAGUACUUUCAGCGGGGAGUCGUUACCCGCAGAAGAAGGACCGGCUAACUCCGUGCCAGCAGCCGCGGUAAUUC